AUUAGAUACCCCGGUAGUCCUGGCCGUAAACGAUGGGUACUAGGUGUAGGAGGUAUCGACCCCUUCUGUGCCGGAGUUAACGCAAUAAGUACCCCGCCUGGGGAGUACGACCGCAAGGUUGAAACUCAAAGGAAUUGACGGGGGCCCGCACAAGCGGUGGAGUAUGUGGUUUAAUUCGACGCAACGCGAAGAACCUUACCAGGUCUUGACAUUGAUGGACAGAACUAGAGAUAGUUCCUCUUCUUCGGAAGCCAGAAAACAGGUGGUGCACGGUUGUCGUCAGCUCGUGUCGUGAGAUGUUGGGUUAAGUCCCGCAACGAGCGCAACCCCUAUCUUAUGUUGCCAGCGCGUAAAGGUGGGAACUCAUGAGAGACUGCCGCAGACAAUGCGGAGGAAGGCGGGGAUGACGUCAAAUCAUCAUGCCCCUUAUGACCUGGGCUACACACGUACUACAAUGGGAGUUAAUAGACGGAAGCGAGAUCGCGAGAUGGAGCAAACCCGAGAAACACUCUCUCAGUUCGGAUCGUAGGCUGCAACUCGCCUAC
rnacentral:rRNA from 1 species